AUUGAACGCUGGCGGCAUGCUUUACACAUGCAAGUCGAACGGCAGCACGGGCUUCGGCCUGGUGGCGAGUGGCGAACGGGUGAGUAAUGCAUCGGAACGUACCGUGUAAUGGGGGAUAACGUAGCGAAAGUUACGCUAAUACCGCAUAAGCCCUGAGGGGGAAAGUGGGGGACCGCAAGGCCUCACGCGAAUGGAGCGGCCGAUGUCAGAUUAGCUAGUUGGUGGGGUAAAGGCCCACCAAGGCGACGAUCUGUAGCGGGUCUGAGAGGAUGAUCCGCCACACUGGGACUGAGACACGGCCCAGACUCCUACGGGAGGCAGCAGUGGGGAAUUUUGGACAAUGGGCGCAAGCCUGAUCCAGCCAUGCCGCGUGCGGGACGAAGGCC
rnacentral:rRNA from 1 species